rnacentral:lncRNA from 1 species
GCAAGGUGGUUGAUGGUGGUGAUAAGGUUGAACGAUGGUGGUAAUUUGUGAAUAUAGAGGUCAUGGAGAUAUGUUUGAAGUUGGUAAUGGUUUUUGUAUGAAUAAAAUAAUAAUUAUGGUGGAGUAAGUAGGAGAUGAUGAUGGAUGGUGGUGUUUUUUAUGUUAUUGUACGUGUGAGAGGGAGAGAGGUUUGGGAGUUUUGGAUUUUUGUGUAUUUUUUCGAUGUAAUUCUUGUCCUCUAGCAAAAUCACCUCUAUUUAUAGUCAAAAGUAGGUAAAUUUUAAAAAAGAAACUAAAUCAAAUAUUGAAAGUUGUAAUUACAUAUCAUAAUCAAAAUCAGAUUAAGUAUUGAAAAUUAUAAUCAAAAUCAAAUGAAAGAUUG